rnacentral:tRNA from 1 species
GAGGGUACAGCUCAGUGGCAGAGUGUGUGCUUAGCAUGCACGAGAUCCUGGGUUCAAUCCCAGUACUCCA